GACGAACGCUGGCGGCGUGCUUAACACAUGCAAGUCGAACGGUAAGGCCCUUCGGGGUACACGAGUGGCGAACGGGUGAGUAACACGUGGGUGAUCUACCCUGCACUUCGGGAUAAGCCUGGGAAACUGGGUCUAAUACCGGAUAGGACUCCUGGCUUCAUGGUUGGGGGUGGAAAGCUUUUGCGGUGUGGGAUGGGCCCGCGGCCUAUCAGCUUGUUGGUGGGGUAAUGGCCUACCAAGGCGACGACGGGUAGCCGGCCUGAGAGGGUGACCGGUCACACUGGGACUGAGAUACGGCCCAGACUCCUACGGGAGGCAGCAGUGGGGAAUAUUGCACAAUGGGCGCAAGCCUGAUGCAGCGACGCCGCGUGAGGGAUGACGGCCUUCGGGUUGUAAAUCUCUUUCAGCUAUGACGAAGCGCAAGUGACGGUAGUAGCAGAAGAAGGACCGGCCAACUACGUGCCAGCCGCCGCCGUAACAC
rnacentral:rRNA from 1 species